AUAUGUCUUCGGGGCAGGGUGACCUGCCUGGCCUCAGGCAGGGAUUCCCGACCGGCGGUUGCGCUAGACAAGCGCACACCGGCGCUUCCAUUAGCGCCGGGUGUUAAAGUCCGCAAGUCCCUGUCAGUCCCGCCUUUCGGCGGGACUAACGGCGGGGACAUGAACCGGUGCGAAUCCGGUACCGAUAGUAUAGUCUAGAUGGGAGAAGACAAAA
rnacentral:ncRNA from 2 species